rnacentral:rRNA from 1 species
CCUACGGGAGGCAGCAGUGAGGAAUAUUGGUCAAUGGUCGGGAGACUGAACCAGCCAAGCCGCGUGAGGGAUGAAGGUACAGAGUAUCGUAAACCUCUUUUGUCAGGGAACAAAGUCGGGGACGUGUCCCCGGAUGAGUGUACCUGAAGAAAAAGCAUCGGCUAACUCCCUGCCAGCAGCCGCGGUAAUACGGAGGAUGCGCGCGUUAUCGGGAUUUAUUGGGUUUAAUGGGUGCGCAGGCGGUCUGUUAAGUCAGCUGUCAAACCCCGGGGCUCAACCCCGGCCCGCCGUUGAAACUGGCAGUCUCGAGUUGGAGAGAGGUAUGCGGAAUGCGCGGUGUAGCGGUGAAAUGCAUAGAUAUCGCGCAGAACUCCGAUUGCGAAGGCAGCAUGCCGGCUCCACACUGACGCGGAGGCACGAAAGCGUGGGUAUCGAACAGGAUUAGAUACCCGAGUAGUC